rnacentral:rRNA from 1 species
AUGAACGCUGGCGGCGUGCCUAAUACAUGCAAGUCGAGCGAACAGAUGAGGAGCUUGCUCCUCUGACGUUAGCGGCGGACGGGUGAGUAACACGUGGAUAACCUACCUAUAAGACUGGGAUAACUUCGGGAAACCGGAGGUAAUACCGGAUAAUAUAUUGAACCGCAUGGUUCAAUAGUGAAAGACGGUUUUGCUGUCACUUAUAGAUGGAUCCGCGCCGCAUUAGCUAGUUGGUAAGGUAACGGCUUACCAAGGCAACGAUGCGUAGCCGACCUGAGAGGGUGAUCGGCCACACUGGAACUGAGACACGGUCCAGACUCCUACGGGAGGCAGCAGUAGGGAAUCUUCCGCAAUGGGCGAAAGCCUGACGGAGCAACGCCGCGUGAGUGAUGAAGGUCUUCGGAUCGUAAAACUCUGUUAUUAGGGAAGAACAAAUGUGUAAGUAACUAUGCACGUCUUGACGGUACCUAAUCAGAAAGCCACGGCUAACUACGUG